rnacentral:rRNA from 1 species
ACGGGAGGCAGCAGUGGGGAAUAUUGCACAAUGGGCGCAAGCCUGAUGCAGCAACGCCGCGUGAGGGAAGACGGUCUUCGGAUUGUAAACCUUUGUCUUUGGUGAAGAAGAAAGUGACGGUAGCCAAGGAGGAAGCCACGGCUAACUACGUGCCAGCAGCCGCGGUAAUACGUAGGUGGCAAGCGUUGUCCGGAAUUACUGGGUGUAAAGGGAGCGCAGGCGGGACAGCAAGUUGGAUGUGAAAUACCGAGGCUUAACCACGGAGCUGCAUCCAAAACUGUUGUUCUUGAGUGAAGUAGAGGUAGGCGGAAUUCCGAGUGUAGCGGUGAAAUGCGUAGAUAUUCGGAGGAACACCAGUGGCGAAGGCGGCCUACUGGGCUUUAACUGACGCUGAGGCUCGAAAGUGUGGGGAGCAAACAGGAUUAGAUACCCUGGUA